rnacentral:lncRNA from 1 species
AUGAAGUGCAUUCCCUGAGAGGCCUGAUGAAGCAGUCAAAUGCAGCAGGCAUAGAACAAUCUCCAAAUUCCUGUAUCAGCUGUCAUUAGUAACAAAAGAGAUUCACUGUGACCUAUGGAGUGACUUCAUGGCUUGAAGUUAGACCUGCCUCAUCACUGUCAUAACGGCUUAUGACUUGGGCUCUUGGUUGGAUGUGGACAAAAUCUCAGGGUUUGCCCUGCUUGUCUUGCUUGUGUGCUGUGGGACUGGGCCCUGCUUUGUGAGGCGCUGCUACUCAUGUUAUACCCAUUGGCUCUCCAGCCCUUCAGGAACAUCCAGUGUAAAGGAUGGAUAUCCAGGAUCUCCAUGUAUCUGAGACCAGGUGACAUUUCCAGUGGACAGAUCUAGUUAUUGACAAGUGAUAACACUUAUAUCGCCACUGUAUAGAUCGUCAGCCCCUCAUUUCACCUUGUUUUGGUUUUGUUGGUUUGGUUUGGUUUUUCCCAUCCCCCCUUUGUUCUAAACAGUAAAACAACAAAGGUAAUUCAAGCAAGGGGAAAAACAGAGAAAGCUAAAAUUCAUUACAAAACUUUGGAUUUCAUUUAAGCUGUGUUUCUGUACCUUUGGAAUUACUUUUUUUAAAAGCAAUCAGAAGUCCAUUCACAUUAAUAUAAUAUGGUUAUAAUUAAACCACUUGGAUUCCAACAGGACUUUCUUUGGUCCUAACUGAAAUUUGUGACAAUUUAUUGUAAAUAAAUGGAAAUUAGUGACACA